rnacentral:lncRNA from 1 species
AUCAAAAUUUGUCGAUAACAGUCAUGAACAAAAUCCCUUUAAAGCUGCAUAUAUGGUGAAAUGAUCUGGGUGAAACAGGGCAAGACAAGGUCAAUUCAUACUCGGGAGAUCUCACCGGGUUGUUAAAGAUUUAUCCCAGGGGGGACAUCAUAAAGGCGUUGGUUACGUUCUAGGACCCGACCCACAACGUAUUUCAUUUAUCAGAUUUUGAACACACCCAACCUUGGGAGAAAUUGCCGGAUAUAU